UUCACUCUUAGGUUAGCCAUCCUUUAAAAUGAUCAUUGGACAUUACAGUCAUUUUGGAGAUGAAUUCACAGAUUUUAACAGUAAAUAAACUCGUGGGGAAGAUAGUAUAAUGGUUAUGCAAACAGACUGUCAUGACUGAGGCUCUGAGAUCCCAGGUCCAACCCAUUGCACCAUCAUAAACCAGAGCUGAGCAGUGCUCUGGUAAAAGAAAACAAACAAAGAACCAAAAACAGUGAACAAACUCAUACCAUACUUUUGUCUCCUGAUCUGAAGAAAUGAGCCAAAAAUCUUCAUGUGAAUUUUCAUCACAUGUGCCUACACUGAGCUACAUUAAAGAUCACUACUAUACUGGCAGAUGGAAAUGGACAGGAAAGAGUGCAGAAAACAAACUGCAGACACUGUGAUUGGCAGUUCAAAUGUAAAAAAAAAAAAAAAAAAUCUGUUUUACUGGCCACAGAAAAGCCAGAGAUAAAUCCAGAAACACAGCUUUUGACCCCAGAAGAAAGGAGAAGUUAAGAAAAGGAACUGCAGCAGAACUUCUCCACCAACUGGGAGCUGACCCAUCUUGACCAGGUCACGGCAGUGUUCCCUCGGUUGAAAGAAAGUGUGGCAAAUAAGGAGAAUGGACCAAAGAUCUUUAUUGGGUGCUGAAGGCAGAAGGUCUGGCUUCUGUAAUUGCUGAACAUGGGUGUUUACAGUCACCAGGUUCCAGAUGUCAUCAGGAUGCCGGCCAGGCUUCCCUAGACUGAAGACCCCUCCAAUGUGUCCUGGAGCUCAGCUUCCCCAGAGACCCACCCUACUAGGGAAAGAGAGAGGCUGACUGGGGGUAUGGACUGACCAGUCAACCCCCAUGUUCAGCGGAGAAGCAAUUACAGAAGCCAGACCUUCUACCUUCUGCAACCCACAAUGA